rnacentral:rRNA from 1 species
GACGAACGCUGGCGGCGUGCUUAACACAUGCAAGUCGAGCGGUAAGGCCCUUUCGGGGGUACACGAGCGGCGAACGGGUGAGUAACACGUGGGUGACCUGCCCUCAGCUCUGGGAUAGGCCUGGGAAACUGGGUCUAAUACUGGAUAUGACUCCACGGUGCAUGUCGUGGGGUGGAAAGCCUUGUGCGGCUGAGGAUGGGCCCGCGGCCUAUCAGCUUGUUGGUGGGGUGAUGGCCUACCAAGGCGACGACGGGUAGCCGGCCUGAGAGGGCGACCGGCCACACUGGGACUGAGACACGGCCCAGACUCCUACGGGAGGCAGCAGUGGGGAAUCUUGCGCAAUGGGCGAAAGCCUGACGCAGCGACGCCGCGUGAGGGAUGACGGCCU